rnacentral:rRNA from 1 species
AGAGUUUGAUCCUGGCUCAGGAUGAACGCUGGCGGCGUGCCUAACACAUGCAAGUCGAGCGAGAAUUCUUUAAUUGAUCCUUCGGGUGAUUUUAAAGAAGGAAAGCGGCGGACGGGUGAGUAACGCGUAGGCAACCUGCCCUUUGCAGAGGGAUAGCCUCGGGAAACCGGGAUUAAAACCUCAUAAUGCCAAGUUUAGACAUCUUUACUUGGCCAAAGAUUUAUCGGCAAAGGAUGGGCCUGCGUCUGAUUAGUUAGUUGGUGGGGUAACGGCCUACCAAGGCGACGAUCAGUAGCCGACCUGAGAGGGUGAUCGGCCACAUUGGAACUGAGACACGGUCCAAACUCCUACGGGAGGCAGCAGUGGGGAAUAUUGCACAAUGGGGGAAACCCUGAUGCAGCAACGCCGCGUGAAGGAUGAAGGCCUUUGGGUCGUAAACUUCUGUUCUAAGGGAAGAUACCAGACGGUACCUUAGGAGCAAGUCCCCCGGCUAACUACGUGCCCAGCAGCCGCGGU